CGAUUUUAGCCAAGAUACUUCUGUAAGAUGUGAUGAUAUAAACAAACACCAGAACACAAACACAUAGUACAAAACUGCAUUCAAUAAGUGGUAAAACAACGUUACAAAAUCACUAUGAAAAAGGAAAGUCUGUGAAUGAAAGGCCAGAGACUGAUGUCCCAUCAAAGGAAUUACAAAACAAAAAAGGAAAAUGAAAUUGCUGAGUCAAGACGGAAAAGGCUCUCAAAAGAAAAUAAGGAUAGAAGUUGCAUGCCUAAGAAUUGUUAUAUAUGUUCGUUUAUUUAAUACGCGAGAUCGGAAUCGUUACAACAAGAUAGGACGUUAUUUUAUAAUGUUAUAUAUUGGGUUUUUUAAGGUUCUCU